UCUGCUGGAGAGAGGGGUCAGGGUGUGGGAGGAGGGAAGAACUCUCUGGGGCUGCAACUCUUCCUCAGUCAGUUCUAAGCCUUCUGUCAGGUGCAGCCUGGAGCAAGGAAUUGUAUCCUGCCCUCACUGAAGUGACUGGUAAUAUUCCAGGCCCAAACUGGGCUAAACCCAAAGGCUUGGAAAUCUGACAAAUUUUUAAAAAAGGUAGGCAGUUAGAAAACACACCUUUCUUCUCAAGGUAAUGUACUAUUUACAGCCUCUUUAAUUUAUUAAAGCGUUAUAAUUGUAUUUACAACUUUGUCCCUGGAUUUCACUUUCUACCCUGAAUGCUUUGAUCUUUAUGUUACAGAAGAGCUGAUCUUUAUGUUUACCGUAUUUAGUAGAAGGAUAUUUUAAUCUCUUUUUUUUGAGAAAAACAGCUGAAGUCUCUCAAGUAGCAGGAUAUCACUGGACCAAAGUUUGCUUCAUGGCUCAAUCUGCUAUGGCUGGAAGAAACAAGGAAAAUCAAUACCUUUUUGUCUUUGCU